rnacentral:tRNA from 1 species
GUCAGGAUGGCCGAGCGGUUCAAGGCGCUGCGUUCAGGUCGCAGUCCGGUCUUCCGGGCGUGGGUUCGAAUCCCACUUCUGAAA